rnacentral:piRNA from 1 species
UAAGAGGAUGGUGUCCUCAUGGGAGCC